CCUACGGGGUGCAGCAGUGGGGAAUAUUGGACAAUGGGCGAAAGCCUGAUCCAGCCAUGCCGCGUGUGUGAAGAAGGCCUUCGGGUUGUAAAGCACUUUCAGUGGGGAAGAAAGCCUUGGGGCUAAUACCCUCGAGGAAGGACAUCACCCACAGAAGAAGCACCGGCUAACUCCGUGCCAGCAGCCGCGGUAAUACGGAGGGUGCGAGCGUUAAUCGGAAUUACUGGGCGUAAAGCGCGCGUAGGCGGUCUGAUAAGCCGGUUGUGAAAGCCCCGGGCUCAACCUGGGAACGGCAUCCGGAACUGUCAGGCUAGAGUGCAGGAGAGGAAGGUAGAAUUCCCGGUGUAGCGGGGAAAUGCGUAGAGAUCGGGAGGAAUACCAGUGGCGAAGGCGGCCUUCUGGACUGACACUGACGCUGAGGUGCGAAAGCGUGGGUAGCAAACAGGAUUAGAUACCCUAGUAGUC
rnacentral:rRNA from 1 species